CAAGAAACAGACUGAGCUCAUCAAUAAAACAGGGGUACAAAGAGAGAUGCGUCUUUAGAGGGAAUUCUUAUCAAAAUCAACUAUGGAGUAGCUGUUCUAAUUCAGACUUCCAUGGUGGAGCCAAGGACUACGGGAGAAGUUUCUGUCAUGGUGCGUGAAGACUGGACUGUACAUCUCUACAUACCAACACCAGAUGCCACAGAGUUCAUGGAGUCCACAUUAUAGCCUGAGAAUUUCUGAACCAUAUCUGCUCUUUAGAAUCACCUGGGGGAGAUUUUAAAAAUUCCAGUGCCUGGCCACACCCUAAAUCACUUAAAUCAGAGUCUCUGGAGGUGGAUUCCAGACAUCAGUUUAUUAAAGCUCCUCAGUUAGCUUCAUUGUGCAACCAGGUUGAGAGUCAGUGCUCUGGCAGGAUUAAAACAUCUUCAGAAGUUCCAGAUAAUAAGAACAUCAACCACCAGCUGAAGAUGAAAGGGUAUUCCA